rnacentral:piRNA from 1 species
UAUAUUUUUUAAAGUAACAUAUAUUUGGGAGC